rnacentral:rRNA from 1 species
AUUGAACGCUGGCGGCAUGCCUUACACAUGCAAGUCGAACGGCAGCACGGGUGCUUGCUCCUGGUGGCGAGUGGCGAACGGGUGAGUAAUACAUCGGAACACGUCCUUUAGUGGGGGAUAGCCCGGCGAAAGCCGGAUUAAUACCGCAUACGAUCUACGGAUGAAAGCGGGGGACCUUCGGGCCUCGCGCUUUCGGGUUGGCCGAUGGCUGAUUAGCUAGUUGGUGGGGUAAAGGCCUACCAAGGCGACGAUCAGUAGCUGGUCUGAGAGGACGACCAGCCACACUGGGACUGAGACACGGCCCAGACUCCUACGGGAGGCAGCAGUGGGGAAUUUUGGACAAUGGGCGAAAGCCUGAUCCAGCAAUGCCGCGUGUGUGAAGAAGGCCUUCGGGUUGUAAAGCACUUUUGUCCGGAAAGAAAUACUUGGCCCUAAUACGGUCGGGGGAUGACGGUACCGGAAGAAUAAGCACCGGCUAACUACGUG